UACGUAGGCGGUUUGGUAUGUCGGAUGUGAAAGCCCAUGGCUCAACUGUGGAACUGCAUCCGAAACUACCAAGACUAGAGUGCAGGAGGGGAGAGUGGAAUUCUUGGUGUAGCGGUGAAAUGCGUUGAUAUCAAGAGGAACACCGGUGGCGAAGGCGACUCUCUGGAAUGUAACUGACGCUGAGGUACGAAAGCGUGGGGAGCAAACAGGAUUAGAUACCCUGGUAGUCC
rnacentral:rRNA from 1 species